rnacentral:rRNA from 1 species
AUUGAACGCUGGCGGCAGGCCUAACACAUGCAAGUCGAGCGGAUGAAGGGAGCUUGCUCCUGGAUUCAGCGGCGGACGGGUGAGUAAUGCCUAGGAAUCUGCCUGGUAGUGGGGGAUAACGUCCGGAAACGGGCGCUAAUACCGCAUACGUCCUGCGGGAGACAGUGGGGGAUCUUCGGACCUCACGCUAUCAGAUGAGCCUAGGUCGGAUUAGCUAGUUGGUGGGGUAAAGGCCUACCAAGGCGACUAUCCGUAACUGGUCUGAGAGGAUGAUCAGUCACACUGGAACUGAGACACGGUCCAGACUCCUACGGGAGGCAGCAGUGGGGAAUAUUGGACAAUGGGCGAAAGCCUGAUCCAGCCAUGCCGCGUGUGUGAAGAAGGUCUUCGGAUUGUAAAGCACUUUAAGUUGGGAGGAAGGGCAGUAAGUUAAUACCUUGCUGUUGUGACGUUACCAACAGAAUAAGCACCGGCUAACUUCGUG